ACGGAAGGCAGCAGUGGGGAAUAUUGGGCAAUGGGCGGAAGCCUGACCCAGCAACGCCGCGUGAAGGAAGAAGGUUUUCGGAUUGUAAACUUCUGUCCUUGGUGACGAAGGAAGUGACGGUAGCCAAGGAGGAAGCCCCGGCUAACUACGUGCCAGCAGCCGCGGUAAUACGUAGGGGGCAAGCGUUGUCCGGAAUGACUGGGCGUAAAGGGCGUGUAGGCGGCCGAUUAAGUCUGAAGUGAAAGUCCUGCUUUCAAGGUGGGAAUUGCUUUGGAGACUGGUUGGCUUGAGUGCGGAAGAGGUAAGUGGAAUUCCCAGUGUAGCGGUGAAAUGCGUAGAUAUUAGGAGGAACACCAGUGGCGAAGGCGGCUUACUGGACGAUAACUGACGUUGAGGCUCGAAAGCGUGGGGAGCAAACAGGAUUAGAUACCCUGGUA
rnacentral:rRNA from 1 species